rnacentral:rRNA from 1 species
CGUAGUUAGCCGAGACUUAUUCCUGGGAUACUGUCCUUUCUCAUCUCCCAGAAAAGUGCUUUACGACCCGAAGGCCUUCAUCGCACACGCGGCGUUGCUGCAUCAGGCUUUCGCCCAUUGUGCAAUAUUCCCU